CCUUGUUGGAGGAAGUGUGUCAUUGUGGGUGUGGGCUUUAAGACCUUUGUCCUAGCUGCCUGCAAGGCAAUCUUCUCCUAGUGGCCUUCAAGAGGAGAUAUAGGACUCUCAGCUCUGCCUGCACCACGCCUGCCUGGAUGCUGCCAUGUUCCUGCCUUGAUGAUAAUGGACUGAACCUCUGAACCUCCCCCUCUAAGGAUCCGAGGCUGACUUAUUCUACUGAUAACUCUAUGAAGAAAGCGCAAUUUAGAGGAUUCCAUCCCUGUCCCUGGUGACUUGGUUUCUCUGCAUAGUCCUGGGUGUCCUGGAACUCACUCUGUAGGCCAGGCUGGCCUUGGACUCAGAAAUCUGCCUGCCUCUGCCUCCUGAGUACUGGGAUUAAGCCUUUAAGUGGCAUGCACCACCACUGAAAGAAGCCUGUCCACCUGCAGAAACAACAUGCCCAGAGGGCACCCCUUGUGGCUACCCAGGGUCUCCACGGAGAGCCCUGCGUGCACCCUCUCCAGCUUGCCUGCCGUUCUCCUUGGCACCCUGAGUGCUCCCAACACUGACCUCCCGCUGCAGAAGUCCAUCCUGCUGCUCUCUCCUGAGGGCCCUUCUCUGCCAAACCUGGCCAGUUCUCAUCACUUUUCAGACUCAGCUCACAGUUUGUGUACUUAAAAAACCAGCCAGGUAAUGGUGCCGCAUGCCUUUAAUCCCAGCAUUCAUGUGGCAGUGACAGACAGAUCUCUGAGUUCAAGCCCAGCCUGGUCUACAGAGUAAGGACAGCCAGGGCUACACAGAGAAAAAACAUUUUUUUUUCAUACCGGGAAAACAAACAAACAAACAAACAAACAAACAAACAAACAAAAAACCUCUUACCAGACAAGAUUGUAUGUUUCAUUGAACUACAUAGUCUUUGGUUUUGAAAUGUAGAAAAAAGUUAUGUUAUGAAACUUGUUUUCCUAUAUCCUUUUUUGCGUAUGUAUCAAGCGUAUGGUGGUGUGCACAUCCGUAUGUGUGUGGGUGCACAUCCGUAUGUGUGUGGGUGCACGUCCGUAUGUGUGUGGGUGCACUUCCGUAUGUGUGUGGGUGCACGUCCGUAUGUGUGUGGGUGCACGUCCGUAUGUGUGUGGGUGCACGUCCGUAUGUGUGUGGGUGCACGUCCGUAUGUGUGUGGGUGCACGUCCGUAUGUGUGUGGGUGCACGCCCGUAUGUGUGGGUGCACGUCCGUAUGUGUGUGGGUGCACGUCCGUAUGUGUGGGUGCACAUGCACUUUGCCCCAGUGCCUUGCAGCCAGCCAGCCACUUGCUCCAGGGGCCCCCAUGUCUCCAAGUCCCAAACUGGCAUCACAGAGAGGCCUUGACACGGGUUCACAUUUCUGUGGGGGAUGCUGACCCAAGGGCUGGUCUCACUCCUGUCAGGCAAACACUUUACCUGCUGAGCCAUCUCCCAGCCCCCUUUUCUUUUUUCAAGACUGGCUUUGCUGUGUUACCCACUGUCAAACCACCCAGAUAUUUUGUGUUUAUCCCCAGAGCUUCGGGCUGCCCUCAGCCUGAGUGAGCUGCUUUCUGCACUGGCUACGGUUAAUACGGAGACUCAGACCUGCCCAAGGGCUGAGGGUGAGUGACGUUGAGUGCUCAGCCAGAGAUGGGACAUUUCUAGACCCUUCCCCCACCAUCAAGGUUCAGGAAACACCUGAGGAGUGGGCAUGGAAAGAAUGUAAGAGCCAGAG